GAUGAACGCUAGCGGCAGGCCUAACACAUGCAAGUCGAGGGGCAGCACGUCUUCGGAUGGUGGCGACCGGCGCACGGGUGCGUAACGCGUAUGCAACCUACCUCUUACAGUGGGAUAGCCCAGAGAAAUUUGGAUUAAUACCGCAUAGUAUACAGAUUCAGCAUUGGGACUGUAUUAAACNUUUANGGGUAANGAUGGGCAUGCGUUCUAUUAGUUAGUUGGAGUGGUAACGGCACCCCAAGACAGCGAUAGAUAGGGGCCCUGAGAGGGGGGAUCCCCCGACACCUGGUACUGAGACACGGACCAGACUCCUACGGGAGGCAGCAGUGAGGAAUAUUGGACAAUGGGCGAGAGCCUGAUCCAGCCAUG
rnacentral:rRNA from 1 species